rnacentral:rRNA from 1 species
AUUGAACGCUGGCGGCAUGCCUUACACAUGCAAGUCGAACGGCAGCGGACCUUCGGUGCCGGCGAGUGGCGAACGGGUGAGUAAUAUAUCGGAACGUACCUUUCUAGUGGGGAGUAACGUAGCGAAAGUUAACGCUAAUACCGCAUAUUCUGUGAGCAGGAAAGACAGGGGAGUCGCAAGACCUUGCGCUGAUUGAGCGGCCGAUAUCAGAUUAGCUAGUUGGUGAGGUAAAGGCUCACCAAGGCGACGAUCUGUAGCGGGUCUGAGAGGAUGAUCCGCCACACUGGAACUGAGACACGGUCCAGACUCCUACGGGAGGCAGCAGUGGGGAA